UACGUAGGUCCCGAGCGUUGUCCGGAUUUAUUGGGCGUAAAGCGAGCGCAGGUGGUUUAUUAAGUCUGGUGUAAAAGGCAGUGGCUCAACCAUUGUAUGCAUUGGAAACUGGUAGACUUGAGUGCAGGAGAGGAGAGUGGAAUUCCAUGUGUAGCGGUGAAAUGCGUAGAUAUAUGGAGGAACACCGGUGGCGAAAGCGGCUCUCUGGCCUAUAACUGACACUGAGGCUCGAAAGCGUGGGGAGCAAACAGG
rnacentral:rRNA from 1 species